UACGUAGGGGGCAAGCGUUGUCCGGAAUUAUUGGGCGUAAAGCGCGCGCAGGCGGUUUUGUAAGUUUGGUGUUUAAUCUCAGAGCUCAACUCUGAUUCGCAUCGAAAACUGCAAGGCUUGAGUACAGAAGAGGAAAGUGGAAUUCCACGUGUAGCGGUGAAAUGCGUAGAGAUGUGGAGGAACACCAGUGGCGAAGGCGACUUUCUGGGCUGUAACUGACGCUGAGGCGCGAAAGCGUGGGGAGCAAACAGG
rnacentral:rRNA from 1 species